GGUUGCGAUCAUACCAGCACUAAUGCAACGGAUCCCGUCAGAACUCCGUAGUUAAGCGUGCUUGGGCGAGAGUAGUACUAGGAUGGGUGACCCCCAGGGAAGUCCUCGUGUUGCAACCCC
rnacentral:rRNA from 1 species